GAACCCUGAAUUCACUGCAACUGACUUGCUGCACUGUAUGAGCUAUUAUGAUCCAGUUUUACCGCCUGGAGGAACUUUUUGCAUAGAGCUUGUUGCCAGCAGUUAGAACAUCUGCAUAUUAAGGUCCUGAGAUUGAGAAACUAAGCACCAGAAACGGCAUCAAAGUGACACCCGGAGUCCAAGAAUGCGUGAAUCAAGUUCUGUGGCUGCGCUCCUUUGCACUGCUAAAGUCACCAAAAGAAGAACACCGCCAUAAAUACAUCAUUGCAUAGUUGAAUUACAUUGCAUCAAAUCGGUGAUCAUUGACGAACGCAUCAAUCAAAUCGCACUGCUCUUCACUUUGCUUUUCUGAAAGGCAUAUGACAUGAUUUGCACUAUAGAUAAUGCAUAUUGGAUGGAUUGGAUUGAGAGUAAGAUAUCAGAAGGAUACGAUGUGGCUUUAAAGCAUAUUCUUCUACUGCACAAACAGGGAUCUUUCGUAUCAUUAGUCUACUAUUUCAAUGCCAUUUAUGUCAUUAUGUUUUUCUUCAAAAAUGAUUGUUAUUAUGUUAACGAUUUUUGCUGU